UUUUUUGUAAAUAUAAAACAAUAAAAUAAAAGUAGAAAGAAAAUUAAAUACAAUAAAACAAAAUAUAAAAAUCUAAUAAAAUAUAUUAAGUUAACUGAACUCAUUAAAAUGAAUAAAAUAGAAAAGAAUUGAGCCAAAUAAAAAAGUAGAAUAGAAUAAAACAGAAUAAAAAUAGAAAAUAAAAAAGAGGAAAAAGUAGAAUAAAAAAACAGAAUUAAAAAAGUAAAAUGGAAAAGAACAGAAAAGUAUAGAAUUAAACAAAAUAAGAUUUGUGUGUGAUAAAAUUCUUAAUUAUUAAAAAAACAAUUAAAACUUAAAAUAAUAAAACAGAAAUAUAGAAUAAAAAAAUAAUUUUGAUUUGUGAUAAAAAAGAAAAAGAAAAGGUAGUAAACGCGCUUGUGUGUGUGUGAUCAUCUUCCCUGAAUCUGCGGCUGGUAUUUCCAGUGAUUCGUUCAUUAACACUAAAUUAUUUGUACGUAAUAACUCACUCAAAAAAUGACGUAAAAUCUCACAACUAGCAGCUGUCUUCUACUGAUGUAGACUAUUCAAGUUUAUGAUCGAUGGUCGCACAAACACACAAAUAACUCGCUCGCAUUUCCUCCUUAACGAGCACAUCCGGCGCGGGUACGGCAAACCGGAUUUGCAGCAUCUUCUCAGUUUUAACCUGAAACUCUGCAGUACGACGGGUUUUAAAUUUCUUACCAACCGUCUGCUUUGAUGUCGGUGACCUGAAGGAUCAAAUCAUUAGCGGGAUAACUUUACCGGUGACGUAUGAACUCAAAAUUAUUUCAAUAAUUGACCCGUGUAUCGUGUUUAAUGCGAAAACAAAACGCACGUCUGCGUACAAAUUUAUCCUGUGAUCUGGAUUUCUGCUAGAAAAAAACAACAAACACGAAUGAACACCUUUUCUUAUUUCUACUGUAUAGAAACAAAUUUGCCUCAAAUUUACUGUUUUUGUUUGCUUCAGAAAGUUAAAAAAUUAUAAUGAUAAUAACAACAAAACACAGCACUGAAAAGAUAAUAGAUCAAUAACCAGCACAUAUUUAGCGAUACAAAUGAUCUCAGUUCUCUGUAGAAUUUGAUUAUUUAUAAACAACAACAACAAAAACAAGCUUAUCAGUCUACAUUACAGCCGACAGCGCUUCUUUAAAAGCGUCACAUGACCUCCACGUUAACCAGCGACGGGCUAAAAAGCCGAAAUUCGUGACUCUUUAUAUCUCCACUCGUGAUUACUGAAUCAUUUCUUUCUUUCCAAGGCGCUGAUUUGUUUAUGCUUGUAAACUACUCGUAACAACACACCCGAGCUUUAUUAAAGCCUUACAAACGUGUUAUAACACAAACGUCACUGAUUGUGACGCCGCUAACGACAUGCGAACCAUGUAAACGUUGUUAUUCCGUCAGUCAUGUGAUCAGCCUUUUUACUGUAUUAUAACAAGUUAUGACAAAAAACAAACAGGAAAACAGAUAAAUAUACGAGUGUGUGCUAUCGUGCGUGCUCUGAAGGAGUCUUAUUUCCUGUUUAUUCUACUGACAACUGUAUGCACGGGCACGUGACAACGCACACACACACAGUCGCACACACCUGACGGAAGCACAACGCUGCAUCCAGGCCUGCUUUUAUUUACCUUUUAAACUUGUUUUUUAAACAGACGAUUCUGGAUUUUAUUUCGAGCCGUACUAGAUGACAAAGCACGAGAGAGGGCAAAGCGACGGAGGCCGCAAUAAAUCCCCCUAUUGUUCUUUCCACAAAGUGCCGCAUAUUUACGGCUUUAUGUAACUCGGACAGGAGGAAAUCUGUCCAGGAGCGAGCCUGCAGAUCAGAUAAACGUCAGAUUGGGUAGCAGUGAGGGUUCAGAAUCGGAAACGUGAACCCGAGGAGGAUUUGUAUGGGAAAUUUACCUCAAAGCAAACACGAUUCUGACUCAUUUCUUAUCAUUAUUACUAUUAUUAUUGUUUUUAAUUCCUAAUCUAAGCUAAGACUCUGGUCUGAUUAUCAUUCUGAAUUUCUCCAUCCACCCAUCCUGGUAUACGUCAGGAAAUGUGAUGUGCAUUUAGAAGUCAUGUUGGUCUUAGGAAAUAAAACAGAAUACACACUUUUUCAGGUGUAAAAACAAACAAACAAACAAAAAAAAAACAUGUAAAUGUCCUACACAGGAACCUUUCUCUUCCUCGCCCCUGUGACAAAUAUUGGUGUAAGGUGCAAGACAUUUCCUUUCUAAAUAAAUAAAUAAAUAAACGCACACUCGAAAUAAGGAUAUUAAACCCCACGCUUUUCCAGUCCCUUCCCAAGAAAUAUGAUAUUAUAUUUAUUUUACUGCAUGAGACUCCCAUAGCACAUAAAUACAAGUCAUUUGAUAUGCACUGUGUUUCUACUGUGUAUUAUAUUGCACACUACACUCUGUGUUAUGUCACUGCGACUCCACCUACACUUUAAUACACCUCAAAUAAAAACAUAGGUCACUAAUAAUAGAAAGUAAACAGUUUAAAACGCGUGUUUUCUAACCUAAAUCACGCUGCGGCUAAUCUAAUAGCGGGGUGUGGAGGGAUUGAAGAAGGCAUUACUAAACAGGGGAUUCAAGACACCGGAUCGAUCCCAAAUACCUAAUCGUUCUCUAUUUUAGUACACUACAAACAGGGUAUGACAUAAUGCUUUCUUACGCCCUACGUAGUGCCCUACAUGCGCCAUUUGGGAUUCCCCCCACCUCCCUCCACAUUACCAACAGCGCCUCCGCCAUUUUCAUAGACCAGCAGUGUAACAUCAGCGACACAUAAACAACGCCGUCCUUGCGGUUUUUUUUCUUCUUCUUCCUCCCUUUUACAUUUUCUUCAUCACCACAGAUUAUUAACCAUUUUUAUAUAUAUAAAAAAAGAUAAAAAAUCGGAAUACAAGUGAGUUUAACGAAAUUAGCUCGAGCUGUGAUUAAAAAAGAGCUUUGCUGACGACGACGACGGCUAGUCAGCGCUAACAAAAAAAAACGAGCGUGCUAGCUAGCGAGCUAACUGUUUUUCGGAAAGAACGUAUAUAUAUUUAUAUAGAGAGAGAGAUUUCCCCCACAAUAUUAGUUUCUUCAUCCAAAUAUCGAUAUUAUUUGACGUUUACUACUAUACUAAUAUAUGUAUUACUAGUAAAGGGUUUAAAUCGGCAUCCGAGGCGAAGAGAAUAAUACUGCUAGUUAAUUAAUAGCUUCAUGCUAACAAGCUAACGUUACGCAUUGAGGACGCGGAUUGAAUUACGCUCGUGCGCCGAAGAGGGAAAAAAAACCCGUUAAACUCUGCGUUUUAAAGCGGUUUAUAUUCUAAUAUUUUAGUCAGUUUGGAUUUAUAAAAGUCUCGUUUUGUAUUAUUUUCUGUCAAGUGUGUCAGCGGUGAGGGUUUAGACCGUAAACAUAAUGAUAAUAAUAAUAAUCAGCAGUUCUGCGCAGUUGAAAGUGAGGGGAUGGAAUUGUAUGUGGUGUUUAAAAAAAUAAAAAAAACAAUCUUGUUUUUAUUGAAUGAAAUGAAAUGCAUUGCGACAGGGUAAAGCUAGCUAAAUCAUCCUGAGGAUAUUUUGAGGUAGAUUUUCCCUCCAAGAUUUGCAAAUUUAAAAACAAAAACACCACCACAGGAAUAAGAGAUAUGUAUACAUGUCUCUUCAUUAUAAUAAUGGAGCUACACAACUACAAAAACAGGGUUAGGUUUAAUAUUUGUAUGAUUAAGAUUAUAAUCAAGGAUUUAUUAAAAAGCCCUUGGCUUUAGAGUUCAGCUUGUGGACAGUUUCUAAUAAAAACAGCCUGGUGAAAGGGGGGGAAGAGAAGCUCUGGUGUUGGAGCUCAGAUGGUCCAAAUUACAUCUAAUUUCAGGAAUUAAACCUUAAACCCUGUGUGUGUGUGUGUGUGUGUGUGUGGUGUCCUACAGACAGUAAGAACUAAUAACUUAAUGUAUGUAAAGCCUUACUCUCUAAAGCAGGAUUUAAAGUGUUCCCUGCUCCAAAAACACCCAUUUUAUACUUUUAUAUUCAGUAACUUCACUUGGUGUUUCUCGCUGUUGCUUAUUUUCAGUCCACAUGGACUCGGUGUUGGUGUGUUUUCAUGCUCCAGCUCCAACACACCCAACAUUUCAACACUAUCACCAAUUUUUAGUUUCAUAUAUGGGUCAGAGAGCUGGAUCUGAGCUGUUACAGGCACUAAACUGUGUUCAACAGAUUUACUGUCUGAUUUUCUUUUGUAGAUUAAACCGAAAUCCUUUCACUCUCUUUUUUCUUUUAAAAUAGCACUAUUGUCUGUGUGUAUGGGGUAUGAUGUACCAUUGUAAAGGUUGUGCUAUGCUACAAGCAUAUAUAUAUAUAUAUAUACACACACUACUAAAUUGGUUCACAGGUAUUUAGGGUUAUUAAAGCAUAACGUGGGAGCUGUAUCUGUUGUAAUUCUAAUAUUUAAUACAGGAGAAUACACUGAUUUCUAAAACCUUACAAGUAUUGUUUUAUUAUUAUUGUUGUUAUUUUAACAUGAAACCCUGAAAUGCAAGAUUUGAGAAACAGAAGACAUAAAGCUUGCAGUGUAUUGCUCAUAAAUGACUAUUUCCAGGGGGGCUUACAGGACUAGCCAGCUUAGCUCUGACACCACUGGCUAUAUGCCAAACCAUUCUCAGCCAAAAUACAACCAUAUGAGGAAUUUAUGUCACCAAAAUAAACAGGAUAGGGCUUUAAAGACACACAAAAAUCCAUCCAAACCGUGCCCAUUAACCUUACACCAGCUGUAUCUCCAACACACACACACACAGAGAGACACACACACAGACAUGUUGACUUCAGCAUAGGGUCAGUUCAUGUUAGCCAACAAGCUUUAGCUGUAACCUGAUAAAAACAAGCCAUUUGAGUGGCACACGUCCACACAGGUGCACAUUUUAAUCGAAAUAAAACCGCAUACCUGUAUCUAUGUCCACUGUAAUAGCCUUGAAUGGAGACCAGGACCAAAACAAUACUCUCCACUGCGGAUGUGUUGAAGAAAAGAUGGUUUUAAAACGCCAAAAACUGACACUGCCCGCCUUUUCGGGUCCUUUAUUAUUUAAUCUUGUGAACCCCGACGCUUUUUAAAACUCAGAAUAUAGUUUUGGUCAGUUUUUGACCCUCUUAAUUUUUUCCCCCGGAUCCCUUCAAUCCUGUGCAAAAAAUGGCGGCCUUGGCAGAACUGCCGUAACCCCGCCCCCUCUCCGAAACCACGCCCACACUAGCUAAUCACGCCCUUCUCCGUCAUGACGUCCGCCGCCUUCGCAUUCUGAGGGGUUUCCCGGGCACAAUCACAGGGGCUACGAGGGGAAGAGGGUCCGUUCAAUGGCGUUAGCAGCAGCUGCGUUACACCUUAACAUCAAAUCAAUAAUACUGCACCAUUUACAGAUUCUACACUGCGUUUGACUGUGUUUAAUUCUGUUCAGACGAUAUACAUUCCCAAAAUGUAACAAGGUUGGAUUUGCU
ensembl:lncRNA